CAAGAGAUGGUAAUUAUGGGUCAACAAUGGAUGUGCAUGUGCUUCUCCAUCACUACACACAAGAAGCUUAUAAAUCACAUAAAAACACACACACAGAGGCAUAAAAUCAGUGUAAUAAUAAAUUGAAUAACUGAAACCCAGAAAUCAUCUGAAUCCAAAGGGCACCAUUUCCCAACUUCCUGAUAGCUUUUGCGAAACUCAAGCGAUGGUUGUAGUCCACCAGAUUGGAUUUCACUCUGUUCAUUCAAUGAUGUCAAAUUAACAUAUUUGGAGAAAAGAAAUGGGAUGAGUACCAUGUAAUUUUGCAUGAUUCCUGUGCCCACAAGGUUUUCUUUAGAGUCUAAACUGCAAUUGGGUCCA
rnacentral:misc_RNA from 1 species